AGAGCAAACCGGACGGUCGCUGUAUCCGCAAAACGGGAUAUAGAGGAAAGUCCGAGCUCCACAGGGCAGCGUAGUGGGUAAUACCCACCUUUCGCCGAAGGCGGGACGGAUUAGAGCAACAGUGACGAUAUCUCCACUGCUUUACAAAGCAGUGGAGGGGUGAAACGGGCAAUCUCUACGCGGAGCAAGACCAAAUAGGAGGAAGGGCGGCCCGCCUGGUUUCCUCGGGUUAGGUCGCAACGACUCUGUAGAGUAAUUUACAGAGCAAGAUAAAUGACCGUCAUCCCGCCUUGGCGGGAAACAGAACUCGGCUUAUAGGUUUGCUCUCUUU
rnacentral:RNase_P_RNA from 2 species